GAUGAACGCUGGCGGCGUGCCUAAUACAUGCAAGUCGAGCGAACGGACGAGACGCUUGCUUCUCUGAUGUUAGCGGCGGACGGGUGAGUAACACGUGGAUAACCUACCUAUAAGACUGGUAUAACUUCGGGAACCCGGAGCUAAUACCGGAUAAUAUUUUGAACCGCAUGGUUCAAAAGUGAAAGACGGUCUUGCUGUCUCUUAUAGAUGGAUCCGCGCUGCAUUAGCUAGUUGGUAAGGUAACGGCUUACCAAGGCAACGAUGCAUAGCCGACCUGAGAGGGUGAUCGGCCACACUGGAACUGAGACACGGUCCAGACUCCUACGGGAGGCAGCAGUAGGGAAUCUUCCGCAAUGGGCGAAAGCCUGACGGAGCAACGCCGCGUGAGUGAUGAAGGUCUUCGGAUCGUAAAACUCUGUUAUUAGGGAAGAACAUAUGUGUAAGUAACUGUGCACAUCUUGACGGUACCUAAUCAGAAAGCCACGGCUAACUACGUG
rnacentral:rRNA from 1 species